GGGCCCGCACAAGCGGUGGAGCAUGUGGUUUAAUUCGAUGAUACGCGAGGAACCUUACCAGGGCUUAAAUGCAGUCUGACAGGAGUGGAAACACUCUCUUCUUCGGACAGAUUGCAAGGUGCUGCAUGGUUGUCGUCAGCUCGUGCCGUGAGGUGUCAGGUUAAGUCCUAUAACGAGCGCAACCCCUUUCGUUAGUUGCCAGCGAGUCAUGUCGGGAACUCUAGCGAGACUGCCGGUGCAAACCGUGAGGAAGGUGGGGAUGACGUCAAAUCAUCACGGCCCUUACGUCCCGGGCCACACACGUGCUACAAUGGUAGGGACAGAGGGCAGCUACCCCGCGAGGGGAUGCGAAUCUUCAAACCCUAUCACAGUUCGGAUCGCAGUCUGCAACUCGACUGCGUGAAGCUGGAAUCGCUAGUAAUCGCACAUC
rnacentral:rRNA from 1 species